GACGUGAACUCACUUGUGAGGCUCUUCUACAGACCUCUCCAAGGUGGUGUGUGACAAGGACAUAGUGGAAAUUCCUCAAAGAAGCUCAUAUGCUUUUCAGUCUGGGCAACCGUGUUGUUGUCUGUAUUUUAUUCAUAUCAAUCAGUUUUUUUCACACCCAUCUUAGCUUCUUAUUGGUACCACAAGCCAACACUUGCUAGAAAACGUCACCCUUGGAAAACAGCCUGUACCAUAUGACUGCUGUCUCUUUUCAUUUAUUUUCUGCUCAGAUCUUAAACAUGCACUUCUUCUGAAGGCCACCAGUGAUAAUAUUCACUCCUUCUCCAAAAACACGUGAGUAAAUCCCUCCUCACACAGGUGAGGUUUGGGGUGGGGAUAAACAGAGGAGGAUGCCAAGUAAACACAGGACCGCUGGGCAGCUUUGGCGGAUCUCAGUGAUACUGUCUGGGUAAUUCAGGGGAAGGUUUCUCUAAAAUGGUGUCUUUGUCACGCGAAGCGCGGAAAGCAGUUUCCUCGCUCCGGCUCACAGCCGUCCGUGCGUAACUUGUUCGCAUGACGGCCGCCGGCCAGAAGGGGGCGCCCAAGAGUGCGGCUCGGCCGGAUCUACCCGCUUCGUACAGCCCCUGGGCUCUACUUAAUGCCUGCGGCCGCCGUGCAGGAGCAAGGUCGUUGCUGCUCGCCAGAGGCUGUGUAGCGAGAGGCUCGCCCAGGUGCUAGGGCAGCCCUGCGGAGUGAAUGCCUUUCUCAGCAGUGAAGGCAGCUGGAAGUUUGGUGAUGGACAAUGCGAGUUGUCGACCCCUUUUGCGAGGUCACGCCCCCUUCCGGAUGCUUAAACAAGUCAGGACUCAGCAGAGCUUUCAUCCCACUGGCUAACUCAAGUCUUGGCCAUCAAUUGCAUUCAAGAAUUAUCUUCUCCAGCCCAAAGAGAGUUUGAUGUCUUACAGCUGAACUAUCAUCAAAGCAGGUGUUACAGGAAAACAGAACCCUUCAGCUGUAUGGAAACCACGAGAAACAGAAUUUCUACUCUAGAUGAAUUCAUUUUCCAUGGAAAUGAAGAAACCUGAACUACAGCCCUUCAAAUCCUAGUAUGAGGUGUGUAAUCCUACAAGAGGCAUCUUGAAUUAGGUCUUUCUCAGGUUACAGUGCUUUGCAGUGGAUGGCUGGAGGAGAGGUUACCUAAUGAGUGCAGCAUGAACAGACCAUUGAGGUGUUUCCAUGAAGCUCUGCAGGAACCCAAUUCUCUACAAAUCAUUUUGGUUUCAUGAUACAGCUUGUUUUGCCAAAGGUGUUGUGGUGUUUUUAUCUUACUAACCUUCAACCUUCUACAUCAUGCAGAUCUUCACAGACAUCUUGGCCACUAUUAGAGCUUGUUCUCAGAAGGUGGCAAAAUGCAUAUCCUGAAUUCCAAGAACUGGCGGAAGACUCUUGCUGGAAGAAAAUGUUGCUGCAUUUCUUUUCAACUUGGACAAUUUUGUUCCAUGCUCACAAAAGUAAUUAAAAAUGUUCUGAAGUAGUUUUUUCAUGGCAGAUACUUGCCUGGCACUUGGUGUGGGGGAGAAGCUCGGUGGUAUGCAGUGAGCUGGACAUGAGGCUGUGAUGUUCACUGGCCUAUGAUCAUGGAAGUGGAACCAAAUGGAAGUGAGCUCCUGCUCAAAGCACGCUUAACUAAUGGUAGUGCUGCUGAUGCUGCCUAAAGCAGCUGUGCUGUUCCUAAGAUCAGAACUGUCAUCGCAGAAAUGAUGGAUGGCAUUUAAUGAGCAAAUGUUGCUGUCUGUCAGCCUGAGGGAAGGAGACUGUUGCUCAUUCUGUGCCAUCUCUGGUAGAUCUGCUGGAUUUGAGUCCUCUGAAAUAUUCGACAAUGGCCCCUGCGGCUGACAAUGGAGAGCCCAGUUCUGCCAGAGUGUUGGAGACCCUCUGCUCCAUGUCCAAGGAAGAGUAGAGGACAGGCAACAUCACGCUGUGUACAGAAGCAGACAGAGCAGCACCUUCUUGCUCCAGCCUGUGUGUCAGAGCUGCCAUCCACCUCAUGUGGAUGAACACCUACUGGGAAAUUCAGACCAACUGGGGAGGUAGCAAGCAAGGAGGUAUGUGUGUGGGGUUAGAAGUUCAUGAUCUAUAUCUGGCCAGCUGAACACAUCAGCAUGUCUCAAACCUUCCAGGGGUCGAAGGGAUGCUUCAGCAGCCUUCCGAAGAAAGAGCCAUGGAUGUCAUUUUGUCAGUGCCAUGAAAUUUUCUCAUUUCCCACAGGGAGUAGGGGACAAACCAGUUCACCUCUGGGAUUAAUUGACAUGCUUUGUAUUUGCUGUUGGUUAUUUUUCUGCUUCUUUAUAUUCUUUAUAUCUUUAUAUAUCUUUAUAUCUAUCUUUAUAUUCUUUAGCUUUCAUCAAUAUCUAACUGAUUUCUGUUAUGGAAAUCUAUGCAUGUGAAUUUAAGAGUAUUGAAAUCCUAAUAAAAUCCAAUUUGAUGAGGACAAUCAUAGAAAAAUAAUAUAUGCAGAGUUGGUAUGGCUUUUUCCAAAUGACUUCCUUCUUCAUUAGUUAUCCCAGGAAGAAGAGGAAUACAGUUUUGAAGCAUGAGGAAAUGCCAGGCAGUCAGAGGAUGCAUGUUGUUCAGGCUGCAGUUUUGUGACAUGGUUCCUAAUGAACAGAAAUCAACAUCCAUUACUUCAGCUUGCCAGAUAAAUCCCCACUCUUCUGCUUGCUCUAACCACUCCUUCAAAAGCGUUUUUAAACUCCAGGCUUCUGCUGGAGGCUUUUCACAUGACCGCAAAAGCAUAUACGCAAGCACAUAUGCAUAAAGAGCAACAAAAUGAUAACUGUUCCCCUCUAUCAUUUAAUGCUUGUAAUUUAAAAGAGAUUAUUCAUGUUGGUUUUGCUUUGACAGAAGAGCAGUGGAUUUUUCUGAAAUGUAUUUUCCAGUUCAGAAGGUUAAGAACAAUUCUGUGCCUGGGGGAUAAAAAAAAGAAAAAAGAAAAAAAAA